rnacentral:rRNA from 1 species
AGUGAACGCUGGCGGUAGGCCUAACACAUGCAAGUCGAACGGCAGCACAGUAAGAGCUUGCUCUUACGGGUGGCGAGUGGCGGACGGGUGAGGAAUACAUCGCAAUCUACUUUUUCGUGGGGGAUAACGUAGGGAAACUUACGCUAAUACCGCAUACGACCUACGGGUGAAAGCAGGGGAUCUUCGGACCUUGCGCGAUUGAAUUAGCCGAUGUCGGAUUAGCUAGUUGGCGGGGUAAAGGCCCACCAAGGCGACGAUCCGUAGCUGGUCUGAGAGGAUGAUCAGCCACACUGGAACUGAGACACGGUCCAGACUCCUACGGGAGGCAGCAGUGGGGAAUAUUGGACAAUGGGCGCAAGCCUGAUCCAGCCAUACCGCGUGAGUGAAGAAGGCCUUCGGGUUGUAAAGCCCUUUUGUUGGGAAAGAAAAGCAGCAGGUUAAUACCCCGCUGUUCUGACGGUACCCAAAGAAUAAGCACCGGCUAACUUCGUG